AGAUGGCUCCUUAGGUGUUAAAAAUUGUCACCCCAAUUUCACUCCAAUUUGGGAAAAUAUUGGAGUGACAUUUGAAUAAUCUGAAAUUUUUAGAUUCCUUUUCUAACUUUUUUGGGAGGUUUUGUUUCUCUUGCACAGAUGUCGCUUGCACUUCAGUUGCGUGGUUGCCAAACGUUAUAUCGAAAUAUAUUUCAUUUCAUUAUGAAUAUAUAAAAUUAAAAAUUAUGUAAUUUAUAAACAUGAAAUAGAUAUGGAUGUUAGGUAAUACCGGAUGUUAAAUUAAUAUAUAAAUAUUUAACUUAAUACGUACAUUAUUAUUUUAUUAAUUUAUCGUCACAUGUCAUUUACCAGUUGCCUAAUUACGAAAAGUUUCAUAUGACAUUAACCUCAAAAAUGAUCUUUGAAAACAAACAACAACAAAUAACUCAAAGAAAUAACUACAUACUACAUAAUAAUAACUGAUAAUAAUGACUUUUAAUGGUAUAAAGGCUGAUGAAGUUUUAGACAACCAAUACAAGAUUCAGAACUCGGCAUCGCGAUAAACAAGUAAAAUUGUACAUUCAGGAACUCGUUUAAAUAUUAUAGGUUGAUUGAAGAAUAAUCUACAAUUGAUUAGAGCCUAUGAUGAUGCGAAGAUAAUUAAUAUCACCUAACUUUAAGAAACCAGCCUAAAGAAGUUUACAUGCAUCUCAUCUAACCAUUAUAGGUACAUUUUAUCUUCUAGAUCAGUAGUGAUUUUUCAUAAUUUGAAUGAACUCACAGAUAGCAAUGGGGCACUGCACCGAAGCAGUAUUACAAAAUGUGAAAUAAAACUGUAGUACAAAUUGCUCUAUAAAAUUUAAUAGAAAUAAAUUUAUUUAUGAAAAUUAAUGAAGUUUUAUCUUUCCUAGGAAAAAAAUAACAAUUAUAUUUUGAACAAUUAAUUUAGAACAUUAGAGUUAAAAAAAUAUAUGUGUUAGAAAUUGUAACACAUAUUUUUUUAACUCUAUGUUAUUCUAACUUAGAAUAACAUAUUUUUAAUAAAAUUGCGCUUAUAGUUUAUACUUUUUUGCUAUUAUAUCAAUAAGAACUAACGUAAGGAGCAAUUCAUUUAUACUAUAAACACACAUGCAUAUUUUUUGA